rnacentral:lncRNA from 1 species
CCGGAACUAUUUUCAUUAUUCCCUCAGACUAGAUCUGUCCUCAUCACCCUCCAUCAGAAUGUCGACUCUGUGAGGACAGGCAUUUUGUUCAAUUAAUAUCUCCUCAUAAAAGGCGCUCAAUAAAUAUUUAUUGUAUUCAGUCAUCAAUCACUGAAAUCCAGAACAAGGGGAAGUAAAACCUAUUGAUACCGAGAAAUGACAGCAGGUUAUCUUUUCUGGCUGAAGUCAGGAAGAGGGAGAAAGAUGCAAAGUCUGACAAGAGUUGGACCUGCCAUUGCUGGCUUUGAAGAUGAAGGAGAGGCCCUGAGCCAAAGAAUGUGGAUGGCCUUUGGAACUUAGGAAUGGGGAAAUGAGGAUCUCAGUUCUACAACCUCCAAGAACUAAAUUCUGCCAGCAACCUAAAUGAGCAAGUAAACAGAUUCUCUACAAGAGUCUCUAGGAAGGAACUCAGUGCUUUGAACAUGUACAUUUUAGCUCAAUGAGACCUAUGCUGCACUUACCAUCUCCACCCUGUCAGAUGAUACAUCUGGGUUAUUUGAAGUCACUAAGUGUGUGACAUUUGCCACAGCAGCCAACAGAAAUCUGUUGAGCCUAGUUUCUGGGAGGUGCAAGGCACUGAGUGACUCAUUGGGACCUGCUGAGUCAUUAGAGAGAGUGCCUGAGGGACAGAGGCCAGACUGCAACUUAAGCUAUCUGGAAUCUUACCUCUGCUGUCUUACUGGCUGUCUACAUGGGGCUACAUUUUAACUAUGGCUUACAGAAAUCAUUGCCUGUCAACAGCCUCCACCCCCACCUCCCCACCCCCACUCUUGGGAAUGGACUCUGACAAACUCACCAUCAGGAAAGUUGAUGUUUCCCAUCUAGGAUGGAAGAAUGGGAUUCUGAACUUUGUCACUGUUUCUGAAACGUCAUCAGCUCCUGUAAUUGCAUGGUUGGGACAGAUCUAUUUAAAUUGCUUUGAAGUUUUCCCAGGAAAUUCCCACAAAAUUGUGCAACCCAAGGAAUUGAGGUGGAAAAAAUGGCACUGGCAUCAAUUUGCUUCUCACCACGACCUUGUGAAGGAGGCAGGUAGCCACUCAUAUUUAUGAUUUAAAAAAUGAGGGAUCAACAAUUAAAGGGGUAACAGUUCUAGGUGCUUGGACUAUUAGUUUUAUCAAAAACACAGUCGGUAUAGGUUCAUUGACAGCUGGCAUUCAUCAUCUGAAAUUAGAUCCCCCUUUGAAAUUAUUCUUUCUCUCAUUUUCCUUGCUUUUACAUAGAAGUUUUUUCUUUUUUUUUUCUGUAAAUAGUUAGAUAAUGGCAUGGGAUGACACUGCAAAUAGGCAAUAUACCAUACAAUCAAUUCCAUGUAUUAAUUCCAGAACAGUUUCCUCAUUAAUGGAAAUACAGGAUGCAUUCUGGUAUCAUUAUUGUUGACAUUUCUCUUUGCUUUUAUUAUAUUCAAUAAAAUAUUGUAUUCAACAGCUUACCUCAGAGAGAAGUUUGAUGAGAUUUGAUUGUCCUUUAGUUUUAUCUUUAUCACCAAGACAGGACCCAAAACCUGUCUUCCUCCUAGUGUGGCAGGGCUGUUGCAAUGAAGCACACAGACAACAAACACAUCUUUCUAAAGCUCUCCUUCAUCUGAAAGUAAAGAUGACAACUUGAUAUGAAUAAAACC